GCACUCUCAUCAAUCCUGAAGCAGUCAUCUGGGCUCCUGGUGGUCAGGGUCUAUCACAGGCCACCUGGUCAAGGGAAGCCUGUGGAUGAGGCCUUCUUGCCUAUGCUUCAAGAAGCGUCUUGCCUGCAGGCUCAUCUUGAUGGGAGAUCUGAACCACCAGGAUGUUUGCUGAGAAAGCAGUGUGUCAGGCUGCAAACAAUCCUGGAGACUCCUGGAGUUGCACUGAGGAGAACUUUCUGGUCUAGACAAAGCAAUCAGAGGUGAAGUGUUACUGGACCUGGUGCUUGCCAUCGCAGAGGAGCUCAUUAAAGAAAGAAGGAGGACUUGGUGACUGGCUGCAACUGCGUGUAAUGGCUGAAGGAGGGUGAAAUCUGCACAGGAGAUUGUGUUUUAUUAGAUGUCUUUCUGCUUCUGAAGAUAUAAACUCAUCCUGUCCAAUAUCUGCCUUCUACAGUCCCACUUGCUUGCUCUCUAUGCUCCCAGUGCCAUCCCAGGGAAGUGGUUGCUGCCUCUACCAAAUUCUCAGCCCUUCUCCAAGAAGCUGAUGCAGAGUCUUUACAUGGUUUCAUGAAAGUCUGUGUGUGAAGGACUGAGGAACAGCCAUGAGUUGCUAGCUGAAAGCUAUUAAAAGUCAGAGCAAAAAAAUUCAAUCCCAUAUUGGCUUUAAACUUUCUCUGUGGGGAAGUGCGUAACCCAUAUAAAGAAUAAACUUAGUGACUCAAUUAAUGCCUUCUGU